rnacentral:rRNA from 1 species
AGUGAACGCUGGCGGUAGGCCUAACACAUGCAAGUCGAACGGCAGCACAGUAAGAGCUUGCUCUUACGGGUGGCGAGUGGCGGACGGGUGAGGAAUACAUCGGAAUCUACUUUUUCGUGGGGGAUAACGUAGGGAAACUUACGCUAAUACCGCAUACGACCUACGGGUGAAAGCAGGGGAUCUUCGGACCUUGCGCGAUUGAAUGAGCCGAUGUCGGAUUAGCUAGUUGGCGGGGUAAAGGCCACCAAGGCGACGAUCCGUAGCUGGUCUGAGAGGAUGAUCAGCCACACUGGAACGGGGACACGGUCCAGACGCCUACGGGAGGCAGCAGUGGGGAAUAUUGGACAAUGGUCGCAAGCCUGAUCCAGCCAUACCGCGUGGGUGAAGAAGGCCUUCGGGUUGUAAAGCCCUUUUGUUGGGAAAGAAAAGCAGCAGGUUAAUACCCCGCUGUUCUGACGGUACCCAAAGAAUAAGCACUGGCUAACUUCGUG